rnacentral:rRNA from 1 species
UACGUAGGUGGCAAGCGUUAUCCGGAUUUAUUGGGCGUAAAGGGAACGCAGGCGGUCUUUUAAGUCUGAUGUGAAAGCCUUCGGCUUAACCGGAGUAGUGCAUUGGAGACUGGGAGACUUGAGUGCAGAAGAGGAGAGUGGAACUCCAUGUGUAGCGGUGAAAUGCGUAGAUAUAUGGAAGAACACCAGUGGCGAAAGCGGCUCUCUGGUCUGUAACUGACGCUGAGGUUCGAAAGCGUGGGUAGCAAACAGG